UUUUAUAGAUGAGCAAAGAAAGUAGUUUCUUCAGACAGAAUCUACUCCUGGUGAAGAUGCUGUGAA
rnacentral:pre_miRNA from 1 species